AGCAAAGCAAAGGUGAACAAGGUAUAAAAUAAGGCCCGAUGAGAUAAAACGGAACAUCGAGCUUCAUCACUGACUACCAUAGGCGAUUUAUUUCGAACUCUCACAAAAAUGCGUUUUAUCAUUCAGCUGGUACUGCUCGUCACUAUUUGUGCAGCCCUGUAUUCUCGAGUUAACGCCGACCCGGUAGGCAACGAUGGACAAGAUACUAUGGCUGAACGAGGCAUCCUCAGUGAAUUGCAAGAAGAACUUGAUAAAGCACCGUGCGAUCCCAGGAGAUUCGAUGCAUGUUUUCGUAGGUGCUUUAACAACUGGCCAUUGCCUAAAUGCAAGGAUUAUUGCCUACUACACGCAUGUUAAGCUGUACGAUUUUGGACACCGCUUAGACACAGAACAUUUUGUCCGCAUAAUAGAAGAAUAACCCACAGCGUCCUCUGCUGCCUUGUUUUUAAGUGACUAAUACACAUAGAAUAGAAGCAUGAAAUCAAAA